AUUGGAUAUUGAUGAGAACAGCCAAAAUAUCCUUAAUAAAAUUAAAGAUACAAGCAGUCAACUACCUGAAGUUCCAGUGAAGCCUCAAGCAAUCGUUAACCCCAAGAGUAAUGUCCAUGUAGCCCCAGUGUUGAAGAAAAAGACUUCUUUCAAAGGCUCAUUUCUGAAGCACAGCAAAACUACUCUUUCUCGCCUGUCUUCUCUCACAUCCAAUACACCAAAUGCCUCAGCUACCACAAGAGGAUUUGUGUUUCAGACUGUUUCACCAUCAAACAAGAAUAACUCGAACACCAAG